GGGAAUUUUGGACAAUGGGCGCAAGCCUGAUCCAGCCAUGCCGCGUGAGUGAAGAAGGCCUUCGGGUUGUAAAGCUCUUUCGGACGGAAAGAAAUCGCGCAGGUAAAUAAUCUGCGUGGAUGACGGUACCGUAAGAAGAAGCACCGGCUAACUACGUGCCAGCAGCCGCGGUAAUACGUAGGGUGCGAGCGUUAAUCGGAAUUACUGGGCGUAAAGCGUGCGCAGGCGGUUUUGUAAGACAGGUGUGAAAUCCCCGGGCUUAACCUGGGAAUGGCGCUUGUGACUGCAAGACUCGAGUGCGGCAGAGGGGGGUGGAAUUCCACGUGUAGCAGUGAAAUGCGUAGAGAUGUGGAGGAACACCGAUGGCGAAGGCAGCCCCCUGGGUCGACACUGACGCUCAUGCACGAAAGCGUGGGGAGCAAACAGGAUUAGAUACCCUGGUAGUCCACGCCCUAAACGAUGCCAACUAGGUGUUGGGGAAGGAGACUUCCUUAGUACCGAAGCUAACGC
rnacentral:rRNA from 1 species